GCCAGACUCCUACGGGAGGCAGCAGUGGGGAAUAUUGGACAAUGGGGGGAACCCUGAUCCAGCGACGCCGCGUGAGUGAAGAAGUAUUUCGGUAUGUAAAGCUCUAUCAGCAGGGAAGAAGAUGACAGUACCUGAGUAAGAAGCCCCGGCUAACUACGUGCCAGCAGCCGCGGUAAUACGUAGGGGGCAAGCGUUAUCCGGAUUUACUGGGUGUAAAGGGAGCGUAGACGGUUAUGUAAGUCUGGAGUGAAAGCCCGGGGCCCAACCCCGGGACUGCUUUGGAAACUGUGUAACUAGAGUACAGGAGGGGCAGGCGGAAUUCCUGGUGUAGCGGUGAAAUGCGUAGAUAUCAGGAGGAGCACCGGCGGCGAAGGCGGCCUGCUGGACUGAAACUGACGUUGAGGCUCGAAAGCGUGGGGAGCAAACAGGAUUAGAUACCCCCGUACC
rnacentral:rRNA from 1 species